rfam:Ornithorhynchus anatinus chromosome 6, whole genome shotgun sequence.
AGCAGCGUGGUUCAGUGUUUAGACCCUGGACUUGGGAGUCAAAGGUCAUGGGUUUGAAUCCCAGCUCUGCUG